CAGGGAAACAACACGGUGGAGAAUCCUGAGUACAUUGUGUGAAAUAAAAGGACAUCAGUGUGACAAGUGUGUGACGUUGUGCGCUCCCUGGUGAAGCCCGUUUUUCAGAGUCUGUAUUCUGUGAAAUGCCUUUCUGCCAAAUUGAAAAUACUGCCAAUGUUACAGAAAUACCCCGGAGAAGUUAUUGUGUCCUGUGUGGGUCUUAGCUCAGCUAACCAUCAAAAAAGCUCUUUAUCGAGAUGAAUUGUAGAUGAGAAUUUGUUGUUUGUGUGUGGUAUGUGUGUACGUGUAUAUACAUUUGUGUAUGUGUAUAUGUGUGUAUAUGUAUAUAUUUGU